rnacentral:rRNA from 1 species
AGUGAACGCUGGCGGUAGGCCUAACACAUGCCAGUCGAACGGCAGCACAGUAAGAGCUUGCUCUUACGGGUGGCGAGUGGCGGACGGGUGAGGAAUACAUCGGAAUCUACUUUUUCGUGGGGGAUAACGUAGGGAAACUCACGCUAAUACCGCAUACGACCUACGGGUGAAAGCAGGGGAUCUUCGGACCUUGCGCGAUUGAAUGAGCCGAUGUCGGAUUAGCUAGUUGGCGGGGUAAAGGCCCACCAAGGCGACGAUCCGUAGCUGGUCUGAGAGGAUGAUCAGCCACACUGGAACUGAGACACGGUCCAGACUCCUACGGGAGGCAGCAGUGGGGAAUAUUGGACAAUGGGCGCAAGCCUGAUCCAGCCAUACCGCGUGGGUGAAGAAGGCCUUCGGGUUGUAAAGCCCUUUUGUUGGGAAAGAAAGCAGCAGGUUAAUACCCCGCUGUUCUGACGGUACCCAAAGAAUAAGCACCGGCUAACUUCGUG